CAGCAGCCGCGGUAAUACGUAGGUGGCAAGCGUUAUCCGGAUUUAUUGGGCGUAAAGGGAACGCAGGCGGUCUUUUAAGUCUGAUGUGAAAGCCUUCGGCUUAACCGGAGUAGUGCAUUGGAAACUGGGAGACUUGAGUGCAGAAGAGGAGAGUGGAACUCCAUGUGUAGCGGUGAAAUGCGUAGAUAUAUGGAAGAACACCAGUGGCGAAAGCGGCUCUCUGGUCUGUAACUGACG
rnacentral:rRNA from 1 species